rnacentral:lncRNA from 1 species
CUGGUUCUGGUUGGGCCAGGGGUGCGAAGGAAGUUGAUAAUGGACCUACAGUUUCAAACAGAGUGAACCUAUCGAAACUAUCCGGGCUAGUUGCAUCUAGGACUUUAUUGUCAGAAGAUCAGGAGCCAAAACCAGUUCCCUCCUUUCCCUACAGAAAAUCAAUUGAAGUAAGAAAAUCCGUCGAGGCGACUAAUGGAUCAGAGUCAAGAAGAAGGCGGGAUAAAAAACGUAUUGUUGAUCAAAGUCAAAUUGUAAAUAGAAGAGUCCCAACUGAAAAAUCAACUCCGGUUAGUUAUUAUAGUUGUUACUAAUUAUUAUUUAUUUCUUGUUUUUGUUUUUUGUUUACCAAUUAUCAAAUUUUUGGUAGCGAAAACCUUCCCUUGCUUCUAUAAGGAUUCGGAUCCUCUCGUGUUACACGAGCAACUCUCAUGUUAUAUUUAAAACCACGAUUGUCUUUAUCUUUGCUGAAUAAUUGAAUAAUGAACAACGAUUUGGGGCUGUAUUUUCAGGAUGGACAUGGAUCUAGUGGAAACAAGAUAUACAUGUCAGGUCCAUUACUGGCUUCAAACAAUAUGGAUCAGAUGCUCAAAGACCAUGAUCGUAAGAUCCAAGAGUUUUCAAGACGAGCAAGAGGUGAUAAAGUCCGUGCACAGAGAAAGUAGUUACAAAUUACUUAAAAUAUUUCUGAUUCGGCAGCUGCAUACGGUAUUUUUAUGAUAACAUUUAUUUAUCUCUCAAAACUUGAGAGAAACAAGUCAAGAGUAGUGGAGAGUGCAUUCACUCUUACUGUAACAUAUAUCAUGUAAAUUGCAGGCUCUAUAACAACAAAUUUAUCUUUUACUAUUCAUGUUUCAACCAUAUACAAAUACAAAAUAAUAUAAACAAUUUACUAUGGUAGCUGUUCGUGAAAUCACGGUGCCAACUUAGUUUUCAACUACUGGUUGUCCCUAAGUUUGGUUUCUACAUCACCAAACACAAUUAUUCUGGUUUUUCAUUUGUUGGUAGAUAGGAAAAAGUUGAACUAGAUAUUUGGGGCGUUGGCAUUUGAUUUGUUUUUAUUUUAGCUGAAGAAAUGCAAUUUCAAACUUGAAAAUGAUAUUGAUCUGUUUAAAAUUAAAAUUAAUUCAAAGCCAUAGGGAUAUUUCAGGAAAGAUGCUGCAGCUUAAUAUAACAAGAGCAGAUUAUUAUUUAUUCACCAUUAGAAUAAGCAGUAUUUUCUAUAAGAAACUUCUUUAUUUAAGCUUGGCGAAAUUAUGUUUGUCGUCCCCUAAGUUCGACAAUUUUCUCAUAUAGGUCCUUUAAUUUUUUUUCUUCUCAAAUUGAUCGUUUAUGUUACAUUCUGAUUGCACUGGCAGCCAUCUCUCCCAUCUUAAUAACGACCAGAGCAACUGAAAGCAUAUGGUCAUUAGGGUCUGUCUCUGCUCACCCCUGCACUAAUCCCCCCCUCCAAAUAAUAAUUUUUUAGAAAAACAUCCAUGAAGUCCAAUAAACGAUCUACUUUUUUUUUUAGUUUACAAAUUACAAUGUCAUUGACCUCCUUCACUUGCAAAGUUGCUCAACUGAUUUGGUUUGAGUUAAGGGAUAAAAAGUUGGAUAUGUCGUGACUUCAAACUCGGACAAAAUAGUAAAUAUCAAAAGAAAACUUGACCAUGCUAUUGAGGUUAGACCCACUUCAUAACAGUAAUUCGGAAAAUUUAAUAUAAAGGACCGAUUCAGGAAAAAGAAAAAUUUGAAGGACUAAUCCAAAAAAGCUCUAAAUUGCAUGCAUAAUUUUGCUUUUAAACUAUUAUUUCACAUAUGAUCUGAAAUUUUGAUGAAAUUAAAAAACAAAAGAUUUGUAGAACUCAUUGUUUAAGCAACAAGGAAGAUAAUUUUAAGGACUUAUUGGUGUCAAUAUGACCUAAUUAUAUAUUUUUGAUCCAGUAACAUUUAUAAAUAUGAAUUCUAUCACAACAAACAACUGGUAUUUUAUUGGCAAUAAUACCUUAGGUAAAAGUUGAGUACACAAGGAUCGUUGAGGCAGAUCUUACCUGAUGCAGUAAAGCAUAAUCAAUUAAUCACGCCAUAAAUUGACUAGAUAUCUGCUAGAGUUGCAUCAUGUUUUCCUUUGUUUGGCUAGCCAUCUACUUAAUUCAGACGGUGCUCAAAUUUAAAGUUAUUAUUCAUGAGGAAAUGUUAAGAAUACUCUUUUCUAACUUUCUCCCUUCAACUCAUUUUUUUUAUGGGAAAUGUUAACAAAUGCUAUUAGGGCAUUGUUUUAACUUUAAAUAGUAAGUUUUUGUUAAAGUUUAUGAAAUCAAUGCAUUGUAAAUUGGAGUUUUUGACUUUUUUAAAGAAUAAUUUCUGUAAAAAAAAAAAAAAAAAAAAAAUCUUUAUUAGAAAUCCUUAAAGAGUAUCCUUAGGACACUCGUUAACAAGACCAUUUUUUUAUUUAACGAGUGUUAGAAAGAGAGUGUUCUUAACAUUUAUAUCUUUUAAGCAUUAUUCAAUCAAUAAGUAUUCUUCAGCUUCCUUUAAAAAAAAGAACUAUUUUUCAGCUAACAAUAAUUUAAUAUGAAACUUAUAUUCUUUUAUGAAGUGAAUAUAGUACAAAAUAAUUUUCAUGAAUGGAAACAACAUAAUGUGAUACUUUCAAAUUGGCUAAUGAAUGAUAUCACUUAAUUUUCCAUGCCAGAUUGAUUGAUAUUCAUUUUCUGUAUUAAAUAAGAAACUAUUAAUAAAUAAUCCGCAUAUUUAAAACAAACAGCACCAGUGGUCUAGUGGUAGAAUAGUACCCUGCCACGGUACAGACCCGGGUUCGAUUCCCGGCUGGUGCAUUUUUUCUUUUUCUUUUUUACUUGUUUUGUUCAAUUAUUAUUAACCUAUUAAAACGAUAACAAACAUCAAGCGGGGAUAGCUCAGUUGGGAGAGCGUCAGACUGAAGAUCUGAAGGUCGCGUGUUCGAUCCACGCUCACCGCAAUUAUUCUACUUUUUUUCCUUCUUCUUCCUAUUUUCUAUUUGGACCCUUUUCUUCCUUAAUUUUUGCUAACCACACCGCCUGUCUUAAAUCUUAUCAACUCUGUAUCCAGUGAUUAUAAUUUAUAACUUAUAAAAAUCUUGUUUUCAAAGUUCCAACUAAAUAUCCUUCAAAAAAAAAGAGUUCCAACUAAAUAUUAUUGGUUAUCCAUUUAUUUUUGAUAAAUUAUUUGGCCAUCCACUUAAUCUCAAGCUGCAUGCUACUCAUAUUGAGAUUAAUUAUGCAGUCCAUAAUAAUCUGACACUACUUACCUUUCAAAAAAUAAUCUGGCACUACUUAGCUCAACAAUUUUACAUAAUCUCCUUUAGUUCAUGAUAAAAUAUUAAAAAGCCUUCCAAAGUCUUUCUCAAGGUGGAUAAUGUAGGCCAUGUUUUGAAUAAACAACUUAAUUAAGCAGUAAGCACUCACAACGUAAGGAGAUUGUCAUAUAAGUGUUUUUUUAGGCAAGUGUUAAUAUAUACGCUAUUUUUAUAACAAAAGAUAAAAUAAGAUUAAACUAUACUCACUCCGUUCUAAAAUAUAAGCAAAUUUUACUUUUUAAGUUCAUUCAAUUAAUGAUGUAUGUGGUCCAUAAUAUGAACCACAUAUAUCAUUAAUUGAAUGAACCUAAAAAGUCAAAUUUACUUAUAAAUUUUUUUCAUAAGCUAUUAUGAAAAGUUUAUGAAAAUAAACUAAAAAAAGUUUACAUAUCAUAAGUUGUUUCUAUAUGCUCUCUCAAAGAGUAUCAUUAAAUAAACUAAAAUGAGUCGAACCAAACAGACCUGUAAUGCUUCUUAUAUUGUCAAUUGCAAUUGAUUCUAUCACAAUUCUGGACCUUUUAAUCGGCAAUAUAUAAUAUAUACCUUGGUUGGACUUACUGUGAAUCCAGUAAACAAGAGAUGUUCUGCUGCAUUAUUACAUUAGUCUUACUGUGAAUCCACAUAGGCAGCAAGUUGUAUAUUAAUAUAUAGUACUACCUUAAUCAGCAUAAUAAUUUCUAAUUAAUUUGAAUUUUUCAUGCAUUGAUGGAUGAUGAUAUCAUA